AACUUUCAGCAAUGGAUCACUGGCAGAAGAACCGGCUGCGGCGAAGGCCUGUUUCCAGCCUCGGCGUGCCGGGCGCGCCGGAGCAAUAAUCAGCCGGUCUUGUUCUACGUGCACCUCGACAGUGUCGCCGAACCCACAUUGCUCAAUCAGAGGGUUCGGAAUACGAAUUCCUCGGGAAUUGCCGAUGCGUACCAGUUGGGCUCUCAUAAUUGGUCUCGCCGGUGUGAUUACAUUGUAAUCGCGUCGGGCGCGGUGACCGGCAAGCCGGCAUUCAUUUACAGCUAACGGACGAGCACGACGCGAAGCCGCCGAUAGCGGGCAGGCGGGGUUGGCUUCUAGGACUAUCCUGCCUUGGGUUUUGCGCCGCUCCGGCUUAUAGUAGACGCAUAGGUGUUUAGCUACUUAAGCAUAUCAAUAAGCGGAGGCU
rnacentral:misc_RNA from 1 species